rnacentral:rRNA from 1 species
AUUCGAAGAUACGCGCAGAACCUUACCAACACUUGACAUGUUCGUCGCGACUCUAAGAGAUUAGAGUUUUCGGUUCGGCCGGACGAAACACAGGUGCUGCAUGGCUGUCGUCAGCUCGUGUCGUGAGAUGUUGGGUUAAGUCCCGCAACGAGCGCAACCCUCACUUUUAGUUGCCAUCAUUAAGUUGGGCACUCUGAAAGAACUGCCAGUGAUAAGCUGGAGGAAGGUGGGGAUGACGUCAAGUCCUCAUGGCCCUUACGUGUUGGGCUACACACGUGCUACAAUGGCAUCUACAACAGGAAGCAAAACGGCAACGUUAAGCAAAUCCCGAAAAGAUGCCUCAGUUCGGAUUGCACUCUGCAACUCGAGUGCAUGAAGCUGGAAUUACUAGUAAUCGUGGAUCAGCGUGCCACGGUGAAUGCGUUCCCGGGUCUUGUACACACCGCCCGUCACACCAUGGGAGUUGGUUCUACCUUAAGGCAAGGUNUNA